rnacentral:rRNA from 1 species
CAGUCGCCGCGGUAAUACAGAGGGUGCAAGCGUUAAUCGGAAUUACUGGGCGUAAAGCGCACGCAGGCGGUCUGUCAAGUCAGAUGUGAAAUCCCCGGGCUUAACCUGGGAACUGCAUUUGAAACUGGCAGGCUAGAGUCUUGUAGAGGGGGGUAGAAUUCCAGGUGUAGCGGUGAAAUGCGUAGAGAUCUGGAGGAAUACCGGUGGCGAAGGCGGCCCCCUGGACAAAGACUGACGCUCAGGUGCGAAAGCGUGGGGAGCAAACAGGAUUAGAGACCCCUGUAGUCCCUGUCUCUUAUAC